GGGGCCCCAGGGACAAGCAGGGCCACUCCCAGGUGUCCCCUCUGUCUGUCUCUAGAUGAUAGUCCUUAUCAAUUGUGUCCCCUUCAUGACUAAGCACGCCUGUGCCUGUGCCUGUGCCUGUGCCCGUGGCUGUUCCUUACAACCAGCGACUUAGUGAGUCCCAGCGUGUGUCUACGGCAGAUGCUUCUUCCAGGAGGGAAAGCUGGAAACUUCUCUCGGGCCCAUGGGGGAGACUGGACUAAACGCAGGAAGGUCCUGACGUUCAGACCAGAGCCGGAGAGAGCUGACGCGCUCAGCCUUACAAAGGAGGCAGAAUACUCUUCGCAUUCCUAGACAUCAGUCAGAGGCAGGGGAGGUCUCUCCAAGCCCCUGGGGGCCACAUGCUGAGCCAGGUUAGGGCUAAGGCUGACAUUUUAGAUGCAAGGGUAUAAGGUGCCUUGACCGUGAGCUGCUACACAUCAGCAAGGGCUGAGGAAGAGACGCUGUGUAUCAAAGAAGUCACUGGACCUCUCAGUGGAGGAGGAUGGAGGAAGGAGCCCAGAAGAGUGAGCACCAAACUGAUGGGGCGGAUUCCAGGCACUGAUGAGGACAUCUUUUCCAGUGGGCAGGGCCACUGUGCCUACAGUUCUCUCCUACCUGAGCCCCACAUGGGUGAAGAGUCUGAGGAUCAGAACCCCUUGCAACUAUGUCACCAUGAUGCAAUUAUCCCCCUGGCUUAGUGGGUACUCGGCGGCUUUUAAAGACUGUGGUGAGACUGAGCCUCACUCCUUCCCCACCCUGCCCUUUGCUUGACAGAACUUCAGCGAUGGGCUAAGGGGUGUAGAGCUUUGGUCACUCCAACCCGCAAAGCUUGCAAGAUGCAAGAGGGAUGAUUAGAGGUGGAAAGGAUUAUUUCUAUGGAAGAAGAGAAUGUAUGGGGAAGGGAUGGAUAGGAAGAGAGAGAGACCAUUGCAGAAGAGGAACGGGUGGAGGGUGAGGGGUUCUGAGGAGUGAAGAAGGGAAGGGAAGCACUGGAGAAUGUGGGAGGUCCAUCUGGCCACCUUCUGAAGGUCUGGGGUCCAGCCACGAGAAACACCUCCACAGAAGCCCUCAGUCCUUGUGCGGCAUAAGGGAGGAGGUUGGCCCAGCCACAUCUCCAGUCCCCACCUGCGAUCUGCAUCAUCACCCGCGGCCCUUCAGUUUAUCCUCUGUUGUAGCCACAAGUGAACAAGGACCGCUGUAUCCUGUUCCCUGAUUACUGGUGGCAGAACCAGGAUCCCCAGAGUCCAGUGACACUACUCUUGCUUCUUUCCUAUGGUCCCCAGGCAGCAAGGGUGGGCACAGACUGACCAUGUGCAGCAGAGUCCCUCUCCCAUCAGCCCACAGCCCACCUUACUCCUGGACUUGGCUCCAGCCAAGUCUACACUUCCCUCUAGUGGCCUAACUCAGUAUUACAGUCUCCUUACACCUAGGUUCUUUUGUCCUUUGUUGGAAACAGAAAUUAAAAAUCUUUCUCUUUUCAAAAACAACCCAAAUGCCUUGAUGUUUGUAGUAGAAGCUCUGUUAUUUCAUUCUAAAUAAAGGUGAACCAACUAAGA